GACGAACGCUGGCGGCGUGCUUAACACAUGCAAGUCGAGCGGAAAGGCCCUUCGGGGUACUCGAGCGGCGAACGGGUGAGUAACACGUGAGUAACCUGCCCCAGACUUUGGGAUAACCCUCGGAAACGGGGGCUAAUACCGGAUACGACACAGCUUCGCAUGGGGUCUGUGUGGAAAGUUUUUCGGUUUGGGAUGGGCUCGCGGCCUAUCAGCUUGUUGGUGGGGUGAUGGCCUACCAAGGCGACGACGGGUAGCCGGCCUGAGAGGGCGACCGGCCACACUGGGACUGAGACACGGCCCAGACUCCUACGGGAGGCAGCAGUUGGGAAUAUUGCACAAUGGGCGGAAGCCUGAUGCAGCGACGCCGCGUGAGGGAUGACGGCCUUCGGGUUGUAAACCUCUUUCAGCAGGGACGAAGCGUAAGUGACGGUACCUGCAGAAGAAGCGCCGGCCAACUACGUG
rnacentral:rRNA from 1 species